CAACAUUUUUCAGAGGACCUUUGUUCAAAAUUUUGGAGCUUCUCCUACUCAUCCUAUGCUUCCUUGGUUUUUCUAUAUCUGAUUAGUCAGUUGUAAAGAAAUUUUUGGAAAUAUUUCUAAUCUUUACCUCUGCUUUCAUUAUAGUUUUGGAUCCUCAUACCUGAAAACUUUUUUUAUUGAAUCAACCUCAGAACUGCUUACUCAAAUUGAAAUUAUUCAUCUCUCCACCACUCUGAUGCCAUAUUAUCCUACUUCUUUCAUUAUGUUUAAUGAAACCAGCAAAGCUAAAAGAUCCUGGAUGCUCAGCAGUGAUAGCAUCAGUAAGCAAUUAAUCUCUAACAGUUCACCUCCCAUGUAUGAACUUCAGAGCUCAAUUCAGCACCUCACAUGACUGUAUGUCUUAAUUCUCUCCUGGAGGAGAAAGUCUACAAGCCAAAAACGGGACUUCGGGAAUAUAGUAUGAAAUAAAU
rnacentral:lncRNA from 1 species